AUCUAUGGCCACGCUACCUUGAACAAGCCUGAUCCCGUUUGAUCUCGGAAGCUAAGCAGGGUCGGGCCUGGUUAGUACUUGGAUGGGAGACCACCUAAGAAGACCAGGUGCUGUGGGUG
rnacentral:rRNA from 1 species